rnacentral:rRNA from 1 species
UUAAUUGUGCAGGUGCCUUUCUCACUUGAGGACCCGGAUUACAAGGGCCUUGAGCUAGAUCUGAUGGUGUUCUGCGAGAAGCAUGGGAAGCCAACAGAGAGGCUUGUUGCGUUUGAAGGAACAAUGACUGGGAGAAGGUUCUUAGCAUGUGCUGAGCCGGAAGGUCAGAAUUGUGGGUUUGUUCAGUGGGUUGAUGAGCAGUGGCCCCCAACAAUGGAGAAUGCAUUUUUGAAGCUUUGGUCAAUGGUUGAAGAGAGCAAGUGUUCUAGGGUGAAUGAUAAUCUUGAAAGUUCUUUAACUAUUCACCAUUUGACAGAAUAAAAGAACAAGCUGGAUGCAGACUCUGACAAGUUGGUGAAAGAUGUGCAUCAACUUGUGGAUAUCCAGGCUGAUAGGGUUGUGGAUUUCAGUUAUCUGCAGUCCAACCUCACAUAUCAGCAGGAAUGCAGAGCUGAGUUGAUUGCUGGUAUGAAGGCAGAAAUGGCAAAGAAAGAUGCAGCUGCAGAGAAGGUUCAACAGAAGUAUGAAAUCAUGUGCAACCUGACAAGUGCUCAAGCAACUGUCAUCCAAAACCUGAAGUUGAAGAAUAUGAAAGAGAAGGAAUUGCUGAGUGAGGCUAGGAUGAAUUUGGAGUUGAAGAAUGCAGAGUUCACAUAG